AUCCCAUGGUGAUGACAUUUCUUUAACAUCUCCUUCAAUAUUUCCCAAGCAUCAAACAAAUACUCAUAAUCUCCUUGUCUAAAUGAAGUAAUGUCAUUCUUCAUAUU